rnacentral:rRNA from 1 species
GAUGAACGCUGACAGAAUGCUUAACACAUGCAAGUCUUUGGCGAAGCUGUGCUUGCACAGACGAGCCAAGGCGGACGGGUGAGUAACGCGUAAGGAACUUGCCCCGCAGACAGGGAUAACAGACGGAAACGACUGAUAAGACCUGGUGUUGUCAGGCUGACGCAUGUCAGGCUGAUGAAAGGAGACGCUGCGGGAGAGUCUUGCGUCCUAUUAGCUUGUUGGUGGGGUAACGGCCCACCAAGGCGAUGAUAGGUAGCCGGCCUGAGAGGGUGAACGGCCACAAGGGGACUGAGAUACGGCCCUUACUCCUACGGGAGGCAGCAGUGGGGAAUAUUGGACAAUGGGGGCAACCCUGAUCCAGCAAUUCUGUGUGCACGAAGAAGGUUUUCGGAUUGUAAAGUGCUUUCAGCAGGGAAGAAGCAAGUGACGGUACCUGCAGAAGAAGCGACGGCUAAAUACGUGCCAGCAGCCGCGGUAAUACGUAUGUCGCAAGCGUUAUCCGGAAUUAUUGGGCAUAAAGGGCAUCUAGGCGGCCCUGUAAGUCUAGGGUGAAAACCUGCGGCUCAACCGCAGGCCUGCCCCGGAAACUACAGGGCUGGAGUAUUGGAGAGGUGGACGGAACUGCACGAGUAGAGGUGAAAUUCGUAGAUAUGUGCAGGAAUGCCGAUGAUGAAGAUAGUUCACUGGACGAUAACUGACGCUGAAGUGCGAAAGCUGGGGGAGCGAACAGGAUUAGAUACCCUGGGUAGUCCAAGGGCGAAUUCCACAGUGGAUAUCAAGCUUAUCGAUACCGUCGACCUCGAGGUGCGACCCGGGUACCCAGCUUUUGUUCCCUUUAGUGAGGGUUAA